CUGCGCCUCCCUCUUUAAAUCGGCGAAGUUGUAGCAACAGUGUUGCCGCACCGCCUUAUUGACCAACAGGCGGUUCAGUUUUUCCUCCUUUUUGAAUUUCAUCUUCAGGUCGCGUCUGGUACGUUUCGGGAAUAGUUGCGUCAUCGCGGUGAAAUCGGUACCUGAAAUGGCGCGGCGUAAUUGGUGACUGACGAUGAGUAAAGGGACGAAACUUUCCGGGUAAGUAGGCGGGGCCCUAAGGUGCCUUUCUGGAAAAUUUCAGCUUUCUAGCUCCGGUAGUUUUUUAAUUAAAAAAUAAAUGAAAUGAGAGUGAAGUCCCUAAUUAAAUUACGCCCUAGUAUGGUGUUUGAAAUCAAAUAACUUUUGACUGAUGAGACCUAUUGGCACGAAACUUUCAGGUUUGAUAGACAGUGCCCUAGAGCAUAUCUCUGGAAAAUUUCAGCUUUCUAACUCAAGUAGUUUUUUAAUUAAAAAAUAAAUUAAAUGAGAGUGAAGUGCUGAAUUAAAUUAUGCCUUAGUAAGGUGUUUGAAAUUAAAUAACUUUUGACUGAUGAGACCUAUUGGCACGAAACUUUCAGGUUUGAUAGACAGUGCCCUAGAGCAUAUCUCUAGAAAAUUUCAGCUUUCUAGCUCAAGUAGUUUUUUAAUUAAAAAAUAAAUUAAAUGAGAGUGAAGUGCUGAAUUAAAUUAUGCCUUAGUAAGGUGUUUGAAAUUAAAUAACUUUUGACUGAUGAGACCUAUUGGCACGAAACUUUCAGGUUCGAUAGACAGUGCCCGAGAGCAUAUCUCUAGAAAAUUUCAGCUUUCUAACUCAAGUAGUUUUUUAAUUAAAAAUAAAUUAAAUGAGAGUGAAGUGCUGAAUUAAAUUAUGCCUUAGUAAGGUGUUUGAAAUUAAAUAACUUUUGACUGAUGAGACCUAUUGGCACGAAACUUUCAGGUUUGAUAGACAGUGCCCUAGAGCAUAUCUCUAGAAAAUUUCAGCUUUCUAGCUCAAGUAGUUUUUUAAUUAAAAAAUAAAUUAAAUGAGAGUGAAGUGCUGAAUUAAAUUAUGCCUUAGUAAGGUGUUUGAAAUUAAAUAACUUUUGACUGAUGAGACCUAUUGGCACGAAACUUUCAGGUUUGAUAGACAGUGCCCUAGAGCAUAUCUCUAGAAAAUUUCAGCUUUCUAGCUCAAGUAGUUUUUUAAUUAAAAAAUAAAUUAAAUGAGAGUGAAGUGCUGAAUUAAAUUAUGCCUUAGUAAGGUGUUUGAAAUUAAAUAACUUUUGACUGAUGAGACCUAUUGGCACGAAACUUUCAGGUUCGAUAGACAGUGCCCUAGAGCAUAUCUCUGGAAAAUUUCAGCUUUCUAGCUCAAUUAGUUUUUUAAUUAAAAAAUAAAUUAAAUGAGAGUGAAGUGUUUAAUUAAAUUAUGACCUACUAUGGUGUUUGAAAUUAAAUAACUUUUGACUGAUGAGACCUAUUGGCACGAAACUUUCAGGUUCGAUAGACAGUGCCCUAGAGCAUAUGUCUGGAAAAUUUCAGUUUUCUAACUCAAGUAGUUUUUUAAUUAAAAAAUAAAUUAAAUGAGAGUGAAGUGUUUAAUUAAAUUAUGACUUAGUAAGGUGUUUGAAAUCAAAUAACUUUUGACUGAUGAGACCUAUUGGCACGAAACUUUCAGGUUCGAUAGACAGUGCCCUAGAGCAUAUCUCUAGAAAAUUUCAGCUUUCUAGCUCAAUUAGUUUUUUAAUUAAAAAAUAAAUUAAAUGAGAGUGAAGUGCUCAAUUAAAUUAUGACCUACUAUGGUGUUUGAAAUCAAAUAACUUUUGACUGAUGAAACCUAUUGGCACGAAACUUUCAGGUUCGAUAGACAGUACCCUAGAGCAUAUCUCUGGAAAAUUUCAGCUUUCUAGCUCAAUUAGUUUUUUAAUUAAAAAAUAAAUUAAAUGAGAGUGAAGUGCUUAAUUAAAUUAUGCCUUAGUAUGGAGUUUGAAAUUAAAUAACUUUUGACUGAUGAGACCUAUUGGCACGAAACUUUCAGGUUUAAUAGACAGUGCCCUAGAGCAUAUCUCUGGAAAAUUUCAGCUUUCUAGCUCAAGUAGUUUUUCAAUUAAAAAUAAAUUAAAUGAGAGUGAAGUGCUCAA